CUCUAGCGGCAGGUAAGUUUUCCCUGUUCACAGUUGGUGGUAGAACUGCGGUAUUAGCUUACAUUCGUUGAUUACAGAUGUUUGUAUACUCUACUGUCCGAUUCAUUACAAUCGUUGAAAGUGUUCGAAUGGGAACAGACGGCUGAAACCUGAGAGGUUUGAUGUUAUCACCGUUCUCCAUAGUCGCGCACGCGAGGGUCUAUUUGUUCAGGUUUGCAAAUGGCAAAGGAGAGGAAUAGUCAGUAGCCUACGGGGUAGCUGGCGUUUGCAGAUGUCUGAUUGCUACGCGCGGUGUUAGUCUGUUCAACAGGGAGACGUUCCAUACAGAAUGCGAAGGUCAGCUUUAACAGGAGACACAGUCCCCCUUCCACUGCGCUUCAAUGGAUCGCACAAUUUUAAUGAUGACUACAUUUCUAAGUUAGUACGUCGCCUUGAGGAACUUGACAUCUCAAGAGGAAACCCAAAUCAUGAGGCGUCAGUGCACAACAGCAAUGCAAGUCCGGAACGGGAGGACUCUUGCUGCAGUAGCAGCCUGGACUCACCCUCAGUUCUGGAAGAGCUCUCCAGUAUGAGACCGAGAAGGCUGGCACAGAGAUGGAGUGAGCUGAGGCUGCAAUUUGCCACCAGUGGGAAUCUCCAUCGGCAGACACAAACAGAAGGGCGGGACAUGGCCCAGAGCGCUCCUUUGCUGGGAAUCACCCCCAUCCAAGUCUCCAACAGUCAGAGGCUGAAGAGUAGAGGGUGGGUUAAAGAAGACACAACAAGUAUUUCUAACAUUUGGGGUGUGGACAACGAGAAGGGACUGAUGGAUUGUUACGUAAAUGGCAGCACACUAGACUAUAGCAGCAGGGAAUUAAUGGGCUACAAUUCAAACGACAGCGACAUCUCUGACCAAGAGAAAGGAAACGCACUGUCCCACUGGGCCAAUCCUGUUCAGCUGGACCUGAGACCAGAACCCUAUGACAGGGACCCAGACAUGCUGAGCAGAGAGGAUGCAGAAGCACCGCAGGUUUAUCCUGAGGUUCUGCCAGGACCACUGAAAUGGUUGCAUAUGACUCUGAGCCUGUCAUCCCCUGAUGAGGGGGAGGGCCGAGCAUGGCCGGGUUUGCACACGCAACAAGACCCCUCCAUCUCUGCUAUCGUCUCACGCUUUAUUGAGCUGGAGAGGUUACAAGCUGCCACAGUGCUGAGAGAACGUGACAGAACGGGCCGAUCACGUCCCGCAACGGCAGUUCCCAUCACAAGGUGCUGCUCUCGUCUGAGGAAACCGGACCCAGCUGACCCUCGGCCAGAGUUCUCGGGAAGGGGAGAGUGCAGGUCUGCGGUGUCUGUUUUCACGGAUGUGGCUCCUUCGAACAACGCUUUUGUGACACACAAGACAAUGAGCGUUCGAAACAAACAGCAGCGGUCUAAGAUGAGCCCAAAGCACCCAGCCGCUCCCUCUAACAGGCCUCGUUCAUGCCCGGAACGUAGAGCUGAAAAGCUGGCAUCACGCCUUUCUCCAGGUUCAUCACCCUCACCAAAACCAACCUCUCUUAAUAAAACCAAACGAUUAAAAGCCACCAAGAAAGAAAUAUCAAAGAGGGGUCGAACUGCUUUUACAAAAGGGAAUAAAAGUAAGCCUUGA
ensembl:lncRNA